AUCCUACGGGACGCAGCAGUGAGGAAUAUUGGUCAAUGGACACAAGUCUGAACUAGCCAUGCCGCGUGCAGGAAGACGGCUCUAUGAGUUGUAAACUGCUUUUGUACGAGGGUAAACGCAGAUACGUGUAUCUGUCUGAAAGUAUCGUACGAAUAAGGAUCGGCUAACUCCGUGCCAGCAGCCGCGGUAAUACGGAGGAUUCAAGCGUUAUCCGGAUUUAUUGGGUUUAAAGGGUGCGUAGGCGGUUUGAUAAGUUAGAGGUGAAAUACCGGUGCUCAACACCGGAACUGCCUCUAAUACUGUUG
rnacentral:rRNA from 1 species